rnacentral:rRNA from 1 species
UGGGGAAUAUUGGACAAUGGGCGCAAGCCUGAUCCAGCCAUGCCGCGUGAGUGAUGAAGGCCCUAGGGUUGUAAAGCUCUUUCACCGGUGAAGAUAAUGACGGUAACCGGAGAAGAAGCCCCGGCUAACUUCGUGCCAGCAGCCGCGGUAAUACGAAGGGGGCUAGCGUUGUUCGGAUUUACUGGGCGUAAAGCGCACGUAGGCGGACUAUUAAGUCAGGGGUGAAAUCCCGGGGCUCAACCCCGGAACUGCCUUUGAUACUGGUAGUCUUGAGUUCGAGAGAGGUGAGUGGAAUUCCGAGUGUAGAGGUGAAAUUCGUAGAUAUUCGGAGGAACACCAGUGGCGAAGGCGGCUCACUGGCUCUUUACUGACGCUGAGGUGCGAAAGCGUGGGGAGCAAACAGG